rnacentral:rRNA from 1 species
GACGAACCGAGCGAACGUUGUUCGGAAUCACUGGGCUUAAAGGGCGCGUAGGCGGGUGCUCAAGUCCGGGGUGAAAUCCUCCAGCUCAACUGGAGAACUGCCUCGGAUACUGGGUGCCUCGAGGGUGGCAGGGGUAUGCGGAACUAUCGGUGGAGCGGUGAAAUGCGUUGAUAUCGAUAGGAACUCCGGUGGCGAAGGCGGCAUACUGGUCCACUUCUGACGCUGAGGCGCGAAAGCGUGGGGAGCAAACAGG